CUUUUUGGGUUUUCAGCAGGUGUCAGAAAAGUUACCACAGGGAUGGCUGGCUUGAGGCGGCCAAACGCUCGUAGGGUUAUUGCUUUUUUCAUUUUGAAGCAGAAUUCACCAAGUAUUGGAUGUUCACCCACUAAUAGGGAACGUGAGCUGGGCUUAGACCAUUGGGUU
rnacentral:ncRNA from 1 species